CCCUUAGAUGUUCUGGGCUGCACGCGUGCUACACUGAUUACUUCAACAAGUGUUUUAACUGGAGAGUUCGCGUAAUCCUGAAAUGUUAUCGUGAUGGGAGUAGAGUAUUGUAUUUGUUAAUCUUUAACGAGGAAUUCCUAGUAAGUGUAGGUUUAUAAGUUGUUCUGAUUACGUCCCUGCCCUUUGUACACACCGCCCGUCGCUACUACCGAUUGAACGGUUUAGUGAGGGCCUCGGAUUGGUCUCGGCCCGCUCUUUACCGGGCGGCGCCGUUGGUCGAGAAGACGCUCGAACUUGAUCGUUUAGAGGAAGUAAAAGUCGUAACA
rnacentral:rRNA from 1 species